AGGGCCACCCACUUCUGAAGUUGCCCUCCAGCCGAGAGAAUUCCCCUUUCCCCUUUUCUGAAGCUGCCCUCCAACCGCUGAAGCUGCCCUCCAGCCAAGAGAGUUCCUCUUCCUAAAAAGACCUAUCUUCCUCUACCACUCUCAAUCCUCGCAGGAGAACCCUAACGCCGCCUUGCAUAGCAGCAGCUCCAGAACCCUAACGCCGCCUUGCAUAGCAGCAGCUCUGCUUCCAAAAUGGAUCCGCAACCCGAACCUGUUAGCUACAUCUGUGGAGAUUGUGGGCAAGAAAACACCCUGAAGCCUGGCGAUGUGAUUCAAUGCCGUGAAUGUGGUUACCGCAUCUUGUACAAAAAGUGAACCCGUAGAAUUGUGCAGUAUGAAGCACGCUGAAGGCAAUGUGAAAGCUCAAGCAUAUAGAGUUGGUUGAUUCUGUAUCACUUGGUAGAAGGAUGUGCAUCUAUUUUGAUACUAAUGCUGGUCGUAUUAUUAUAAGGUUUCUGUUGGAUUGUCUCAAACAAUUACUUGUCAACAAUGAAAUGAACAGGCAUUGAUAGGUACAAUGAAAUGUACUUGAUAAAUUCUAUUGGCUUGA